rnacentral:rRNA from 1 species
UGGGGAAUAUUGGACAAUGGGCGAAAGCCUGAUCCAGCCAUGCCGCGUGUGUGAAGAAGGUCUUCGGAUUGUAAAGCACUUUAAGUUGGGAGGAAGGGCAUUAACCUAAUACGUUAGUGUUUUGACGUUACCGACAGAAUAAGCACCGGCUAACUCUGUGCCAGCAGCCGCGGUAAUACAGAGGGUGCAAGCGUUAAUCGGAAUUACUGGGCGUAAAGCGCGCGUAGGUGGUUCGUUAAGUUGGAUGUGAAAUCCCCGGGCUCAACCUGGGAACUGCAUUCAAAACUGACGAGCUAGAGUAUGGUAGAGGGUGGUGGAAUUUCCUGUGUAGCGGUGAAAUGCGUAGAUAUAGGAAGGAACACCAGUGGCGAAGGCGACCACCUGGACUGAUACUGACACUGAGGUGCGAAAGCGUGGGGAGCAAACA